rnacentral:rRNA from 1 species
AUUGAACGCUGGCGGCAGGCCUAACACAUGCAAGUCGAACGAGUGGCGGACGGGUGAGUAAUGUCUGGGAAACUGCCUGAUGGAGGGGGAUAACUACUUGAAACGGUAGCUAAUACCGCAUACCCUCGGAUGUGCCCCGAUGGGAUUAGCCAGUAGGUGGGGUAACGGCUAACCUAGGCGACGAUCCCUAGCUGGUCUGAGGGGAUGACGAGCCACACUGGAACUGAGAAACGGUCCAGAAUCUUACGUGAGGAAGCAGUGGGGAAUAUUGCACAAUGGGCGCAAGCCGGGUGCAGCCAUGCCGCGUGUAUGAAGAAGGCCUUCGGGUGGUAAAGUACUUUCAGCGGGGAGGCGUUACCCGCAGAAGAAGCACCGGCUAACUCCGUGCCAGCAGCCGCGGUAAUUC